rnacentral:lncRNA from 1 species
CUCCUUCACACCCACCCUCUCCAAAACCCUAAAUCACCGCCGCCACCAUAUCCCUUACCCCAAAACCCGGCGUGGCCGGCUCCAUUCACCCCCAAAUUCACACCGUAGCUCCCUCUCCUCUCCCUCACCACGAAUCCCCGUCCACUUUCCUUCGAAUCAUCACCCAACUGCUCGAAUCUUGAUUCAAAAACCUCGGUCAAAAGACAAAUUCAUCCAAACCGGGUCAAGUUCAUCCCCACAGUCUCAUCGUUCUUUUAUUAAUAAAUCCAGGGUCAAUUUUGUCGAAUAUCACCACGCCGUUCCCAAUUUCUGAUCUAGGGUUUCAAGGUCAAUUUUGUUGGAGGCUUCAGGCGUCAGUAUGAUUUCUUAACUGAUGUUAUAUGUUUAUAAACAUAAAAUAUUAAUUAAGAAACCAAUUUCGGCGAUUUAGGCAGUGUGAAGAUUUAACCGUGAGUUCCCUCUUUCUUCUUUUAUUUUUUUUUCUGCAUGUUCAUCUCAUUUUUUGAUAAUGGUUUCACGUUUAGUUGUUUCAUGAAGAUAAGUUAUUAUUUAUUCAUUCAUGCUUUUGUUUUAAUGAAGUGCAGUGUUUCUCAAUUCGUUUCAGCGGUUAAUCUUGUUUAAUUAGUAUAAUUCGACUCAACUAGGUUUUACUCGUCUUAAUUUCAAAUUGCAUUUGGAAAUGUUAUACUAAUUGAUUUCACGUUAUGUUGUUCUCUUCUUUCUGAUGCUUAGAAUUUAGCUCAUUAGUAUGUGUAACUUCUGUCUUGAAUAAGUGUUAGACUUGAAUUGGAUUAAGUUGGGUUUUUGAUUCAGUUUAGUAGUGUUAAUUGGUUAUUUGGAUGUAAUUGAGAAAUUUUAGUUAUUUAAUUUAGUUUAAGCUUCAACUGGGGUAAGGGUAUGGUGCUGUUAAAUUGGGUAGUAAUUUCAGGGGGUUUUCAGGGGUAGUUUUGGGGAUGGAAAUUGGCAACAUCUUGAAAAAUAGUAAAUUCAAGAGUAAGGAAAGGGUAGUUUAGGAAUUGCAACAUGCAUAGGACAUUCUAGAAUGGUACCUUAGUAUGCAUUUCAAUAAAACUAAGGUAGUUACUUGGGCAACAAGUCAGAAAAUGAGGGUUAAAGUAAAAAAAUUAAUAGGGAUUAAUAGUGAAAACUAAAACUUGGGGGGCUGCCCUACUUUGCUUCUAUAAAAAGGCGUUAGAUGCCUUGAAAAAGGGGGCUCCUCCAUUAGCUAUUUUUUUAGCCAUUAUUUAGAUCAUUAGUUCAUAAAUACUCUUGCAUUCUAGUUCGUUUUUUUUCUUAGCCUUUGAUUUCCAUAAAACAAAAAAAGAAACAAAAAGUAAAAACUCAAAAACAGUAGAAAAACCGAAAAAGCUAGAAGGAACACUGUUCCAUUGGUUGCUGGUAUACUCUCCUUGGUUUGGAUUCAUUUUGGAGUGAAUUUGGGUUUGAUUGAGCUGGUUUGGAGGAAUUCUGGUCAUUUUUGGUGUUGUCUGGGGUAGAUUUGUUGUGUCUGGUGGUGUGUUGAAGCAUUCAUGGGUUACUGAACUUGCCUGGGCUGUCAUUUUGGAGUCUGCUUGAAAGCUAUUAUUGUUAAUGUGUGUGUGUCUGUUAAAAUCUCUUGAAAUCAUCCUUGUGUUGCUGGGCGUUAUUGUUGCUGUUGGCUGCUGCUUUAACUGAUCUCUUCUUCCUAUUUCUAAAUUCCAGGUACACAUUUCAAGCUUAUGUUGAUGUAUCUAUUGCUGUCGAAACAAUGAGAUGAAACGGAAGCCAUUUUUUUGCUGAAAUUUUUGUUGAUUCUGUCUGUUCUAUAUAGUUUCUCUGUUUUGAUGGUUUAUUGUAACUAAACUAAGAUGGAUUCAACUUACAGUAGAUGUGAACUAUCUAAAAUGUUAUGAAUGGUGGCCAGUUUAGCAUGUUUGUUUAAUUGAGUAGGUUACUGGACAUUUAAACUAGUAAAUGUAUUCCUGUGUGAUUUUCAUAGUUAAUAGUUUCAGCUAGGCUAGUUCACGUUAUUAGAAUUGGAAUAGUUAACUGUUGUAGUGCAACGUCAAGUGAAGUCAUUUACUGUGCAGAAUUUAUUGUUUCAAUUUGAGAUCAUUUGUCAUAUAGUUUAUACGUUAAUUUGAAAUUUUGGCAUUAGUGGAAUCAUUGUUAAAUAUCUAAUUGGAAAUAGGAACACUGUGUUUGGUCGCUAAUAAUCUAUUGAAGGUUUUCAUGAGAAUUUGGAUAAUUAUUUGGGUAAAAUGGGACAUGGCACGCUGGCCCAAGGGAUUCGAUCCCUAGACCGUUCCAAUAUGGCCACUGUGUCCGCUCAUGUUGGGCUGAUGAUAGGCCCAUUGCCUAUAAUUGUUAGUAUUGAGCAGUUGGGCUCUUUGGAUCUAUGGUUGGAUAACCUUCAGCUCAUUGGAAGUAAUUAUUUGUAUUUUACAAUAAGAAUUAGCUAAAGACUCUCCUAUUACUAUGGACAAAAACAAAAAUAUAAAAAAAUAUAGUCACUUUGUAGGUUUACCCUUUUUAAAAUAAAUGAGAUGAGACUCACCAAACAAGAAUAAAUGUGGGGCCCUCAAUAAUUAAUUAUUAAAAAAUGAUUAGAAUUCGAAGGGAUUGUUUAGCGAAUUACAACUAUCUUUCCCAAACGAUAUUACGCUAGAACCUUUAAGCGCGAUUUAAUUAAAUUAUUUCUUUAAACUCUGGUGCGCAUUGAUGCGACAAAUCCAAAUCUCGACGAAGCCGAAAUGUGUUGACGAUCAAGUGUACACUGGUGGUGACGUGAUUAAAAAUACAUUUUCACGACGUUGCAAGUCUUUUAAAAUAAAUAAUGGUAAAAGUGGUAUAUAAAUAAAAGGACGCAUAACCUAGCAUGUGUUAAAAUCAGAUAAAACCAAAUACAACAGUUAAGCAACUGUGCUAGAACCACGAAACUCGGGAAUUCCUAACACCUUCUCCCGGGUUAACAUAAUUUCUUAUCCGAAUUUCUGGUUCGCAGACUGUAACAGAGUCAUAAUCUUCCUCGGUUCGGGAUUCAAAUCGGUGACUUGGGACACCAUAAAUCUCCCAAGUGGCGACUCUGGAAUAAAUAAAUAACCAAAUCCCAUUUCGAUUGUCCUUUAAUUGGAAAAACUCCUUUACUCCUCCUUUGUGGGGGUGUAUGGCGAAAAAAGGAGGUGUGACAGCUCUGGCGACUGUUGGGGAGAAGAACUCAGAAUGUUUUGUUCAGGGUUCAGAAUUCGAGCUUAGAUAAAUUGUUGUAUUUUGUUAUAUCUAAUUUUCCUACAUGCUUUGUCCUUAAUGUGCUAAUUGUUACCGCUUUGAUAUUAUCUGAAUUGUGUAUAAACUAUGCCGAUACCCUUCUCUCUCUACCUCCGGGGAUGUGCUUACUGGUUGAGACUCCCUAUUUUGUUUGUGUCAUACCCUAAUAUAAGAAAGAGGCCGGAUAAGUUACUAAGUCUCUACCUCUAGGGAUGUGCUUACUGGUUGAGACUCCUAUUCUGUUAGUGUCAUACCCUUAAAUAAGAAAGAGGCUGGAUAAGUUACUAAGCCGCCUAACCCCGCGGGUCACCGGUAAGUUGCCCCCUCCUCGAUUCGAAUUGUCCGCUCGGGUACACUGUCUAGAACACCGACCCAGGUUUUGAACAUAGAAUAACUUGAGUUCAUGCCGGAUCCCUAGUAGGAACGCUUAUUUGCAUCAUGCUACAUUUGACAUAGGGGACUCAACACAGGUUUGGGUCCGUCUAGGCCUAGCAACCUAAAAUGAAAAAGACCAUCCUGGUGCAUCCUACUUGUUCUGUGCAUUUAUUUGUUCGAACCUGCAUGUUGACCGGUUUUGAAUCUUGGAAUGUCGGAAUUUGAGGAAAAAAAUGAGAGAAUUAGCAGUUGUAGAGUUAAUCUUGGAAAAACCCAAUGCCCAAAUACCGUCGAAACUCUGCCAAAAUUUUGAGAAAAUGAAUAAAAAAGGUUUUAUUUUUAUUAGUUUAUUUUACUAAAAAGCAAAAGAAAAAUAGAAAAAAAGAGUUUUUGUUUUAUUUUUUGAGAAUUAACUAUUAAAUUAGUUAAUUUGCCCGUGGUUUGAUUCUCACAGGGCGUGAGAUACGUAGGCAACCCUCAUCGGGUCCAACCUCCCCAUUACAAAAAUAGCCCAAAAAAUAUCAAAAUUUUAAUUGUUGUCAUAAAUAAACCAGGUGCCGCCAUUUUUGCAAAAAUAGCCAAAUGUUCCCAAACGGAACGCCGGAAGGCUAGCCUUGCAUAAAUAGCCACCUUCGGUCAUAUUUUGAUUUUUGACCCUCACAGCCUUAAAUUUUCGUGCUCGAGGCGUUAAAAGACCGUGUUUGCAAUACGGGGUAUUUUAUUUUGAAAAGUAAAAAAAGAGAGUCGUAAAUAAGUCGAGUAAUGCCAUUUUAUCAUAAAUAGCCGAAUGUUCCCGAAAGGGACGCCGGAAGGCUGACUUUGCAAAAAUGACUAUUUUGGUCAAUUUUGAUUUUUGAUCGGUUAGCUAACGCAGCCCUAAGAUCUUCGCCCCCGAGGUGCUGAAAGGCCAUGUUUGCAAAACAAGGUCUUUUGUUUCAAUCUGAAAAACAAGAGAAAGAGUCAGUGCUCAAGUGAAUACCGUUCGGUUUUUGGUCAAAAUAACCCGGUCCAGCCUCAAAAUUCAUGUAAAAUUGGGAAAGGUCCAUGUUUGCAAAAAUAGCCAUUUGGUUGAAAUUGGCAAGUAGGGGAAGGAAUUAUUCAGUUUUGUUUUUAUCAUGAAAAUGGAAAAUUCCAAAAAAAUAUUUUAUUGUCGUUUAUCUUUUAUUUUCACGAACUACGCCUGGUCUGAUUCGUGCGGGGUCACGAUGCGUAGUCAAUCCACAUAGGAUUCGACCACAAUCAAAACCCAAAAAAUGAAAAACAAAAACUUUAAAAAAAUUGAAAAGAUGUUGUGAAUAAUGAGGACCGAUCCAAUCCAUUCUAACAUGUUUUGUUUUGAAUUGUGAAGAAAAUUGAGGUGGUUGGUUGUGGUAAGCUAGAAACACAAAAUUUGAGGAAAAUGAUAACCGUCAUCGAAGUUGUUACAAGUGCUCAAGAGACUCCGGGUCAGAGGGUUCAACUAGAGUCUACGAUGUUUGAGGAAAGUAUAACACCGAAAUAGAAAAGGACUGAAAUACAUCAAACAUGGGCCAACUGUCAGGGAGAGCCUCGUCAUGAGUCACAAUUUGCUACACAACAAAAGCACCGCAUGUACUUAUUCAAUCUUCCUGCAAACAUUGAGAAUCCUGCACGAACGAGAGUACAAGAAGAAAUAGCCCAAGGAAUGAAAAGAUUAGAACAACAGCUGAAAAACACGCAAGCAAUGGCAGGACAAAAGAGUGUUGCCCUCCAGAGAUCUAUGCAUGUUCCCCGAUGUCCACUUGCCGCCUGGUUUCAAGGUUCCCAAAUUAGAAAAGUACAAUGAACAUGGAGACCCCAUAGCCCACCUGAAAAGGUAUUGCAACAAAUUGAGAGGUGUGGGAGAAAAUGAACAACUGCUUAUAGCUUAUUUUGGGGAAAGCCUCCCGGGAAUAACAUCUGAAUGGUUUUUGGAUCAAGACACAUCUUGCUGGUACGUCUGGGACGACAUGGCACGGGCCUUUGUCAAACAGUUUCAAUAAAACGUCGAUAUCGCCCCAGGCCGUAUUUCCCUUUCAAACUUGAAAAAGAAACCAACUGAAAGUUUCAGGGAAUAUGCCAUCAAAUGGGGAGAGCAAGCAGCUAGAGCUAAUCCACCCAUGAAUCUCCACGAGUUCAUCACUGUCUUUCUACAGACUCAAGAGCCAGAUUAUUUUCAAUACAUGACGUCCGCAGUGGGUAAAUCCUUCCUGGAAGCAAUCAAAAUGGGAGAAAUGGUGGAGAAUGGUUUUAAGACGGGCAGAAUUAUAAGUCAAACAACUCUCAAAGCUGCAGCUCAGACUGUCCAAAUUGAAUUUGGUAACAUGAAUGAGAGGGAUGAAGAAGUCAUGAUGAUAAUAGGAUCGAGAAGAGGUCCUAGGAGAACGUCUCGAAGGUAUGUGCAGCCUCAUCAGGUUUUCCAUGACCCCCCUAAGCAUUACUAUCCACCUCCGAACCCCCAUACUCUAUUGAUCCUUCCCAGUAUGUUACCCAACCAUCAAAUCACCCAAGAAAGCGAGCACGAGUGUCACAAAAUCUCCACCAACCUCCGCAAAAAACCCCCAUACUCUGUUGAUCCUUCCCAGUAUGUUGCCCAGCCAUCAAGUCACCCAAGAAAGCGAGCACGAGUAUCACAAAAUAUCCACCUGCCUCUACAAAAUUUUCAAGUACCUUAUAACUCACUUCCAAGCCAGGGGUAUAGAUGGGAACAAAAGCUGAAAGAUAGUUUUAUACCAAUAAGAGAGUCCCAUGCAAGCUUAUUUGAGAAGUUAAAACAACAUGACAUGAUUGCACCCCUUCCUCCAAAUCAGUUGGACCGACGUGCGAGAAGCUUUGACUCAUCUAAAAGGUGUGAAUACCACUCCAAUGCUCUGGGGCAUAAUGUGGAAAAUUGUCGAGAUUUGAAAAGAGAAAUAGAAAGAAUGAUUCAAGAAGGGGUAAUCGUGGUUAAUAGCAGUGACAAGGAGCAUGCAAAUCCUAUUGGGAACUUGUUGACUGAAGUUGAUGAUAUGGAAGUUGGUAAUAAUCUUGGCAAUAUUGAUGCAGAACUCAGUGGCUAAGAUGCUGAGCUUGGUAAUUGGAAAGACACUUCAUCUCUUGGCUAGCUGGAGAGAAGUCUUCGUGGUUUAUUUUGUCAUUAUAUCUGUUGUCCGGGUUAUUUUUAGGAUUGUAAUCCGGAUAUUGUCUUGUGACUCUAACCCUUCUAUCCUUUUAUUUGUCUAGUUCCUUUAGUCUUCAUAUCUCAUGUAGUGUUAUCUAGGUUUGUUUUAGGAUUGUAUCCCAGUUUGUGUUGCUUGUUUUGUUGUUAAACCCUUUCACCGUCUGCUUAAUACAAUUCUCUAUUUUCUGCCAUUUCUAGUCAUUUUUGUUUAGUACUCUUUUCUUUCUAUAAUUCAUUUCCUGUUGGUUGUAGUGACAUGGCAUGCACGCAUAAUUCUUAGUCGGAUUUUUAAAAGCUAUGUUGGUCGGGAAGCAAUGAAACCAUUUUGAAGACGAUGAGGGCAUUUGAGGAAAUAAGAACAAAUUCGGACAUUUUGAGAUUGUUCGACGCCCGAACCAUGUGAAACUAGGGAAAGUAAAACAUUAAAAAAAUUCCCGCAAAAGCAAGUUGGGCAAAUUGACAGGGGGCCGGUCGUGGUAAUAAGAGUAAGAGUGUGGCCCAAUGACACAUUAUAUCAGACAGAUGUAGAAAGAAAAUGUUGGAAAUGAUCGUCAAUUCCGAUGCAGUCAAGAGAUACUGUGUAUGGUUUCUGUAUUUUGAUUGUACCUAUUUGUACUUGGCAUAUUUUGAGGGUUGAAAUGACGAAGGCAUUUUGUUCUGCUAUCCAAGCAUUUUUUUCCAUUGUCACCCCUUUUGAGCCGUUUUUAUUUUUUUUCAUACCCCUCUUUCAGAAUUAACUGCACAAUCAAAACACAAAUACAAAAAAUAAGCAAAUGGAAGAAGGAAAAAGAAAAGGAAAGAAAGGAAAAAAGAAGAAGAAAAGAAGAAGAGAAAAGGAAAAAGAAAGGAAGAAAAAAAGGAAAAGAAAAAAAAAAGAAAAAAAAAAGAAAAGAAAAGAAAAGAAAAAGAAGAUAAAAGAAAGAAAAGAAAAAAUGAAGAAAAGAAAAAAUGAAGAAAAGAAAGGAAAAAACAAGAAUAACAGAAAGAAAAGAAGAGAAAGAAAAUCAUAACAACGUAGUUUCUAUGAUGUGAACCACGUUUGACUUGAUCCCGAAAGUGUACGUAGGCAGCCUUCCUUUGAGGUUCAGUCAUACAAAAAUAAAAUUCAAAAGUCCCCAAGCAAGAAACUGGGGCAGAAGUUUGUGGUUGUUAUGAAAGAUUUGAUUUCGAAAGUUGUAGUUGUUAAUCCCAUCCGAAUUGUGUUUGAGCCUUUUAUACCCUUUCUUUCUAACCUUGUCCAAAAGCCACGUUACGGUCCAAAGAAAGACCUUCCGAUUAGUCUUCGAGAAAUGCCAGGUCAAUCAGGUGAUGGCAAUUCAUGUCAGGUGCAACACUCUGGUCCAAACAAGGAAAGUGAGAAUGAAAGGGUCUUAGUGACGAAAACCCUCACAAGUAUCGCAAGGCGACAAAAUCUAAGAGAAAAGAAAAUGAGAGAGUCUUAUUGGUUAAAACCUUCACGGGCACCUUGAGGCGAUGGUAAGUUGAGAAAAAGAACAAAUGAGAGAGGCUUGAUGGUGAAAACCCUUCGGGCACUACAAGUCGAAUAAGGAAUGAGAAUCAAAUUGGAUAGGCGGAGCAUUGAAGUCUAGUUUCACGGAAAAAAGAUAUAACAAGAGCUGAACAUUAGGUUUGAUUGACAUAAUAGCUACAUGUUCAUGUCAUGGUCAUUAGAGUUGAUAUCCACAUUUGAUAGGUUUCUACUUAGUAGUGUCUUCUUUACGAAUCAUCUCUUGACUUUGUCGUUCACUUCGUUCUUCUGUUUUAUUCACUUCCUCUUUUUGAGUCUAUUUAAUGUUAACAAGUGAGAAAUGACUUCAAAAUUUUCCACCAGCUUUCCAAUUGCACAAAUUGGGUCAGGAGCCAAGUAAAACAAUAAGAUAAAGGGUAAUAAAUGAACACGCAUUCGGGGAUCAUGUGAAGCACAAAGCUUAGUAGAUGUCAGUUCAGGAGUAAUGCAACAAAUGGAUGGUAUUGGGUUUGAACGAAGAAUAGAUAUUAUCUGCGACAAGGGUCAAGCGAAUGAGCAAUAGACUUCAGGGUCAAGGGGCUAGGGGUUGUGAUUUAAUAAGCAACAACAUACUGUGGGGGCAAUGGAUGCAAUUUGGGAACUCAUGUAAGACUCAAAGGCCAGGAAAAUGCCAGUUCAUGAGCGAUGUAAGAAACAGAAGAUAUAGAGUUUUAAUGCAAAAAAGAUAUGGGGUCAGAUAAGAAGACUAGAAGUAAUAAUUGAGAGGUAGUCAUCAAGAAGGGCGGAAGUUAUCCGCCAAGUUUCAAACAUGGUCGGACAAUGCAGAGCAUGGAAAGGUGAAAAAGGAAAUCCAUCUCCAGCGGAAGUACCACAACCAACCACUACAAUUUAAACUGACAACAUUUUCUUUGAUUUGAUAUAGGGGCAUAGAAAUGUUAUUGAUGGCAGAAAGAUAUGAUGGGGCAGAAAGUUUUCUGCCGUUUUGAAAUUCUCUUGAAGGCGGGUACACAUCUGAAGAACAUGAAAGGCAAUACAAGUUAAAAAGGGGGGGGGGAGUAGUUUCCAGGAAAGAAACACCAAUUUUUGGAGGAAUGAAACACCGGUUGUUAGAAAAGUUGUUUCUCAAGGAGGACAAUACCAGUUUUUAAGGAAGCAAUUAUAAAGAAAGGUAGUUCAAGUCAGAAGGUAGGUAAAACAAGUUUUGGAGGACAAUGGGCAGUCGAGAAAUCUUAGUCUGAUGAAAUUUUCACCUAAGAUGAAAUCUUAGUCUGAUGAAUCUUUCACCUAAGAUAAACGCAGAAGUUGGGAAAGACAAAGUAAGCAUAACUUGGAAAGGAAGACGGAAGUUGGAAAAGAAAGAAAGGCAUCAUCUGUUGAAUCUUUCACCUAAGAUAAACGCAGAAGUUGGGAAAAAGAAAGUAAGGCAUAAUUUGGAAAGGAAGAUAAAAGUUGGAAAAGAAAGAAAGGCAUAAUUUGGGAGAAAAAAGGCACAAUUUGGAAAGACGGAAAGGAAUGUUUGAAUUCCAAAAAUGGACCUAGUCUGAUGAAUAUCUCCUAGAGUCAAAAUCUCAGUCCGAUGACUCUUUCUCCUGAGAUCUCUCAAAAAUGGAUCUAGUCUGAUGAAUUAUCUCCUAGAGUCAAAAUCUUAGUCUAUUGAACUUGUCACCUAAGAUAUAAAAAUCUUAGUCUAUUGAAUAUUUCUUCUGAGAUCUCUCAAAAAUGGACCUAGUCUGAUGAAUUAUCUCCUAGAGUCAAAAUCUUAGUCUAUUGAACUUGUCUCAUAAGAUACAGAAAUCUUAGUCUGUUGAAUCUUUCACCUAAGAUGAAGGCAAAAAUUGAAAAAGGGAAAGGAAGGCAUACUUUGGAAGGCAAAAUUCGGAAAAAAGGAAGAUGAAGGUAGAAGUCGGAAAAAGGAAGGAAGGCGUAAUUUGGAAAAAAGAAAGGAAGCUGUAAUUUGGGAACAAGAAAAGAAGGCAGAAUUUGAAAAGAAAGGAAAUUGAAAUUUGGAAAAUUAAGAAAGUCUGAAGUCAAAAAUGGACCUAGUCUGAUGAAUAUCUCCUAGAGUCAAAAUCUUAGUCCGAUGAAUCUUUCUCCCGAGAUAGUGCAAAAAUGGACCUAGUCUGAUGAAUAUCUCCUAGAUUCAAAAUCUCAAUCCGAUGAAUCUUUCUCCUGAGAUCGCGCAAAAAUGGACCUAGUCUGAUGAAUAUCUCCUAGAGUCAAAAUCUCAGUCCAAUGAAUCUUUCUCCUGAGAUUGCGCAAAAAUGGACCUAGUCCGAUGAAUAUCUCCUAUAGUCAAAUCUCAGUCCGAUGAAUAUUUCUCCCGAGACCACACAAAACGUACCUAGUCUGAUGAAUUAUCUCAUAGAGUCAAAGUCUUAGUCUGUUGAAUAUUUCUCCUAAGAUGAAAAUUUUAGUCUGAUGAAUUUUUCACCUGAGAUAAAUUGCAAAUUUUAAGGUACAUUUCAACUUUUAAAUUCGUAUUUCAGCCUUAUCACAAUUAAUGUUUUAGUUGUCAAUUUUUUAUAAUAUGUGGUAACAAACCCCAGUUUUCCAAACUGGGGUAGAAAGUUUUCUUUGUUUUGCCUAUUUGUGUGAAGUCAGAAGCCCGCCUAGAGAACAAAGGAAUACAUUCAAGUUGUGAAGUCAGCAUUCAAGUUUUGAAGUCAGAAGCCUGCCUGAAGAACAGAGGUAUUACAUUUCAAUUUUAGUUUUCAAAUUCGUAUUAGUAUCCGAUAACAAACCCCAAUUUUUCAAAAUGGGCAGAAAGUUUUGUUUGUUUUGUCUAUUCUUGUGACGUCAGGAGCCCGCCUAAAGAACAGAGGAAUACAUUCAAGUUCAGUUUUAUUCAAGUUCAGUAAUUUGCCUAAUUGGGGCAGGAAGUUUGCUUUGUUUUUUUCUAUGUUGUGAAGUCAGGAGCCCGCCUGGAGAACAGAGGAAUACAUUCAAGUUCAAUGUUAUUCAAGUUCAGCAAUUGGGAGGGAAGGAACAACACUCUAGUUCAUGAUUUGAUGUAACAACAAGAGAAAGUACAAGAAAACAAGGAAACAAGAGAGAAUACAAGAUUGCAAGACAACUAGCAAGUACAAGAUGCAAGUUUGAAGAUUUAAGAUAGGAUUUUUGUAAUUCGUAGUUCAUAUAUUAGGCUAGCUUCUUUUAUUUUGAUCGGUGUAAUAAGGAAGGUCAGCAAGCAGUGGCAGCAGCAACACAACAGUGAAAUCACAACUGCUGGUAGUCCCAGCUACCAGACACUCCCGAACUACACUGACCUGAUUCUUGUUUAGCCUAGGAUAUGUAGGCAACCUUUGAAGCAGGGUGCGGUAAAAACUUUUCAAAAUGCUUCACAAUGGAAUUUUCGAACGGGCAAAAAUCGCUCGUAGUUGCUCACUUAUCUUUGCCCGAAAACAUUUCAUGUUUCCAAGCAAAAAAGGGCAGCUGUGAGCACCUGAUUUUUACCCUAUAUAUGAAACAUUCCCAUAAAAUUCAAACAAAAAGAAUUUUCCUUAUUUUUAUAAUUUUUCGCACAUUUUUGUGAUAAUGGUUUGCAUUUUUGUUUGCGCAUUUUUAUUUAUAUAAAAAUACCAAAAUAUGCAUUUGCAUUUAGGAUUUUAUUUUAUAUAUUAGGAUUAAUUAGAGGUUAAUUUUUUUUAGAACAAAAGCAUGAAAAAUCAAAGAUGGUUCACUUUUGCAUUUUAAUUGUUUUAAUUAUGAAUUUAUCGUGAAAUAAGUUUUUAAAUAAUAUUUGAAUUUAAUUAGUUUUGCUUUGGAAUAUUAGGACCCUAUAUUAAUUUUCUGCUUAUUUAUAAAAUUAGAAAAAAAUAAAACAAAAAUACAAAAUGAAAAAAAAGAAAGAAAACCAAAAGAAAACAAAUUAAGAGGUGUUGGUCUUCAUAAGGUGCCGAAUUUAAGCCAAAAUUGCCUGAGCCCAAACAAAACCCACCUGUUUUGACCCCAGACCGACCCACACAUACCAGCCCGGACCCGGUCUGCCUUAGAGACCUUGAAACGACAUCGUUUUGUAGGUUGAUCUCAACCGUUGCUUAUUGAUCAAACGGUUGAGAUCAUCCUAGGUUCUAAGAUAUAAGUAUAUCCGAAAUACAGCCCCCACCCCAGAAGUCAUCUCCUUCACACCCACCCUCUCGAAAACCCUAAAUCACCGCAGCAAACAUAUCCCUUACCCCAAAACCCGGCACCGUCGCCUCCAUUCACCCCCAAAUUCACACCGUAGCUCCCUCUCCUCUCCCUCA